UACGGCGGGUGCGAGCGUUAUCCGGAAUCACUGGGUUUAAAGGGUGCGUAGGCGGCGCGGUAAGUCAGUUGUGAAAGCCCCUUGCUUAACGAGGGAGGGGCGAUUGAUACUGUCGAGCUUGAAUCGGGAUGAGGCAGGCGGAAUGUGGCAUGUAGCGGUGAAAUGCAUAGGUAUGCCAUAGAACACCGAUUGCGAAGGCAGCCUGCUGGGCCGGUAUUGAAGCUGAGUUACGAAAGCGUGGGGAGCAAACAGG
rnacentral:rRNA from 1 species